AGUGAACGCUGGCGGUAGGCCUAACACAUGCAAGUCGAACGGCAGCACAGUAAGAGCUUGCUCUUACGGGUGGCGAGUGGCGGACGGGUGAGGAAUACAUCGGAAUCUACUUUUUCGUGGGGGAUCACGUAGGGAAACUUACGCUCAUACCGCAUACGACCUACGGGUGAAAGCAGGGGAUCUUCGGACCUUGCGCGAUUGAAUGAGCCGAUGUCGGAUUAGCUAGUUGGCGGGGUAAAGGCCCACCAAGGCGACGAUCCGUAGCUGGUCUGAGAGAAUGAUCAGCCACACUGGAACUGAGACAUGGUCCAGAGUCAUACGGGAGGCAGCAGUGGGGAAUAUUGGACAGUUGGCGGAAGCAUGACCCAGCCAGACCGCGUGGGAGAAGAAGGCCUUCGGGUUGUAAAGCCCUUUUGUUGGGAAAGAAAAGCAGCAGGUUAAUACCCCGCUGUUCCGACGGUACCCAAAGAAUAAGCACCGGCUAACUUCGUG
rnacentral:rRNA from 1 species